rnacentral:rRNA from 1 species
UACGGAGGGGGCGAGCGUUGUUCGGAUUUACUGGGCGUAAAGGGGCGCGCAGGCGGCUUAUUUUGUCAGGCGUGAAAGCCCCGGGCUUAACCUGGGAACUGCGUUUGAUACGGAUGGGCUAGAGUUCGGGAGAGGAGAGUGGAAUUCCCAGUGUAGAGGUGAAAUUCGUAGAUAAUUGGGAAGAGCACCGGUGGCGAAGGCGGCUCUCGUGGACCGAUACUGACGCUGAGGCGCGAAGCG